UACGUAGGUGGCAAGCGUUGUCCGGAUUUACUGGGCGUAAAGAGCGCGCAGGCGGUCGUUCAAGUCGCGUGUGAAAGCCCCCGGCUCAACUGGGGAGGGUCACGCGAUACUGAUCGACUCGAAGGCAGGAGAGGGUAGUGGAAUUCCCGGUGUAGUGGUGAAAUGCGUAGAUAUCGGGAGGAACACCAGUGGCGAAGGCGACUACCUGCCUGUUCUUGACGCUGAGGCGCGAAAGCUAAGGGGAGCAAACGGGG
rnacentral:rRNA from 1 species